rnacentral:rRNA from 1 species
GACGAACGCUGGCGGCGUGCUUAACACAUGCAAGUCGAGCGGUAAGGCCCUUUCGGGGGUACGACGAGCGGCGAACGGGUGAGUAACACGUGGGUGACCUGCCCUCAGCUCUGGGAUAAGCCUGGGAAACUGGGUCUAAUACCGGAUAUGACUCCAUGACGCAUGUUGUGGGGUGGAAAGCCUUGUGCGGCUGAGGAUGGGCCCGCGGCCUAUCAGCUUGUUGGUGGGGGNG